GUGCCAGCAGCCGCGGUAAUACGAAGGGGGCAAGCGUUGUUCGGAUUUACUGGGCGUAAAGGGCGCGCAGGCGGCUCUUCAAGUCAGAUGUGAAAGCCCCGGGCUCAACCUGGGAACUGCAUUUGAGACUGAAGAACUCGAGUUCGGGAGAGGAUGGCGGAAUUCCCAGUGUAGAGGUGAAAUUCGUAGAUAUUGGGAAGAACACCGGUGGCGAAGGCGGCCAUCUGGACCGAGACUGACGCUGAGGCGCGAAAGCGUGGGGAGCAAACAGGAUUAGAAACCCUGGUAGUCC
rnacentral:rRNA from 1 species